rnacentral:lncRNA from 1 species
CAUUAUUGUAGGAAAAAUUAUAAUAAUCUUCUUUCUAAAUACAAGGAGAUAACAACAAAUUUCUCUUGUUAUAUAAGAAACUAAGUAGGAAACAUUCGAGAGAUUACAAUAUUUUUCUCAAUAUAAUUUAUGUAUCUCUCUAAUGUCUAUUUUCUCUCUACUCGCUGCUUUCAAUUCCUCUUUACAAUUGUACGCCUCUCUCUUCAACUACAGCCCUCUAUAAAGAAAACUUCACCACCAAAUUAAUAAAUCUUUAUGAAGAAUAGAAUGGAGAAGAAACAAAAAUAUAACCAAGAAAUCAAGAACAAUAAUGAGAAGAUGAAGAAGGCUCGAACACGUAAUCGUUGUCCUCAAACGAUAUUUACCCCAUCUCGAUUAAAAUUUAGUGCUUACGGGAUUUUGGCAAAUGGUUUGCAGAAUUUACCAAGCCUUGCCAAGGAUUUAACAUUUAAGCACUUAAUGUAAUCCUUGAGAACUAAAAAAUGUAAAACCGGGCUUUGAAUAUGAUAGGGAGAGAUCUUGUGCUCUUUUGAGGAAUGAAAUCAAAAUCACAAUAUUGAUAUUUCAUUACAACACAACAUUG